AGACUGUCGCGGGGGCAUCGACGAAGUGAUGCUUGGAGAGCCGGCAGGGUGGGACUUGGCGGCUCCUGGGGCCCAGCGGACCACGGCCUCCCCAGCAGGUCACGGCCACCAGCUUGCCCCUCAGCCCUUCCCCUGGACGCUCCACCCUGCUUCCCACGCGCAGCCUGUGCUCCUCUCGGGGCCUCCACCCAGAAGGUCUUGUUAGUCCUUCUCACCUCCUCGGCCUGUCUGUCUUGCUCGUUGGUGUAAACCCAGGACCCUGUGUGGUGAGGUUCUGCAGUGCGCACUCAGUGCGUAUCUGUUCUCGGGUGCAGGAGUGUGGACUCCUGAUCCCAGCAGGCUCCUGAGUCUUCAGGGACUGGUUGAAUGGCAAUCUUCCCCAGGAGGUUCCCCCCAAACCCAGUCCUCACCAUCUGGAAGAAGUAGCCUGCCUGCGGUGGUUUUCCUGAACCUCUCUGAGCGGGAACUGCCAGGUGCUGGACAGGGAUGGGCCUAGAAUUCCCGCCUCAGAGGGGAGAGGGUGCAGGUGACUUUGAAGAUAACAUGAAGUGCCUGUAUUGACACUGGGCAGUGAGCACUAUGGACUUAAAAUUCAGGGUUAAUCUAAGCUCGCCUAUACCUGAAACCCAGGCUUCUACUGCCAACAAACUGUAAAGCCAGGAGAGAGGGGGGCGUAAGGCAGGAGAGUUCUCAUUGCCCUGUCCCCAUCCAGGGCUAGGCCUGAACCAGGGCCAACAGGUGCUCAGGGUUGGACAGCACCGGCUUUUUAAAGCCCAAAGUGUAGUAAUACCCUCCUGUUAGUACAAGUAACUGAUUUGGGCUCUGGGCUCCUUAGGGCUCUGUCCCAAAGCUGUCCAGGGGCAGAGGGGAGGCCCCCCAGAGGGGGCAAGAAUCAAAGCAGGGUCCUAGCUGGCCGGAAACAGGGCGGGGCAAAGGCAACGACCAACCAAUGGGCGUGAGUGUCUGUUUGAAGGACUUUCGAGGACACGCGGCCGGUUGGGGGGGGUGGCAACGCUAAUCAGCUGCCUUUGGGAUAACUCACCCCUGGUCCAGCCAGGUGGAGUGGAGAGGGAAUCCAAAGAUAGGGUCUUAACAGGGCGUUGGGGUGCUGUGUCUGUGGCCUCUGGGCACCAUCUCUGAUGCUCUGCAGCCUGGGCAGAGCAAGGUGUUAGAGUAACUCAUUUUUCAACAGUAAGUUUAUUGGGUUUCCUGAUUAUCUGAAGAACAUGUGCUUGUAGCACGUUUGUGAAAAUGAAUAUAUAAAGAAACAAGUAGAGAUGUGACAUCUUUGAUGCCUUCCUGCCCUGCAUCCCUGCAGGCAGUAGUCCCAGGUCGCAGCACCAUGGUACACAAAUUUGUUUUAAAAUCAUGGACGCAGUGGUUAACGAAUCCAACGAGGAACAAUGAGGUUGUGGGUUCGGUCCCUGGCCUUGCUCAGUGGGUUAAGGAUCCAGCGUUGCCGUGAGCUGUGGUGUAGGUCGCAGACAUGGCUCGGAUCCUGCGUUGCUGUGGCUCUGGUAGGAGCCGCCCUAGAAAAGGCAAAAAGACAAAAACAAAACAAAACAAACACAAACAAACAAACCUCCCCUGGCUGGGUGCAGAGAAUGAACUAAAGGGGGAGAAAGUGGGUGGGAAAAUCAGUGGAUGAAAAACUGCCUCCUUGAGUUCGCCUUGGGCUCAGCAGGUUGAGGACCUAACCUAGUGUCUGUGAGGAUUCAGGUUCGAUCCCUGGCCUCACUCAGUGGGUUAGGGAUCUGGUGUUGCCAUGAGCUGUGGUGUAGGUCACAGAUGUGGCUUGGAUCUGGCAUUGCUGUGGCUGUGGUGUAGGCCGGCAUCUGCAGCUCUGAUUCAGCCCCCCUAGCCUGGGAACCUCCAUAUGCUGUGGGUGCAGCCUUAAGAAAAAUAAAAGAAAAAAGCCCUGCCUUAAUCCCAAGUAGGGAAGUGAGCUAAGGCUGUGGUGGCAGGGUGGGCAGAGUGGCAGGAGAGGAGAGGCUGGCUUAGAGGAAGGUUUGGGUUAGGAAGUGGAAUCCUGGGAGGCGUGAGCCAUAGACUGGCUGGGGUGGAAUCUCCAGGAAGCAGCCUGUGGCUGGGGUGGGGUGGUGGGGAAGAUGGGUCUGAGGUUACCCUCAGGCCUGGACCACGGUCCUGGGCUGUGGUUUGCUCCUAACGGGGACCCACUGAACCAGGUGACAGACAGACACCUCAGGCCUCUCAGAGGCUCCCGUAGGUCAGCCCCGAGGCGGGCCGAGAGCGGGAGGGACAGAGAAGGUGGGGAGGCCUCCUGCUCAGGCCUCUCAGCCAGGACUUGAGCGGGAGGCUUCUCAGCAGGGCUUUAGUCUCCACAUCCCUCUCCCAGCCUGACAGCGGCCCGGGCUCAGGGGACCCAAAAGGGCUCUUACAGGAUUGACUGCUGGCUCCUGUAGGCUGGCCCCGUGGGCUGGAGUGGCCCUUGGGCUGGUCCUUUGGAAAGGCAAACUUCCAGCCUGGGGGACAGAGCAGUCUGGGCUGGGAAGGGGCCGCCGAGAGGGUCUGUGGGUGGGAGGCCCCCGCCACCGCUCAGCCUGGGGUCUGGGCUGAGAAGAGGGGCCUCCCCAAUGCCCUCCUUGGAGACAAGGGGCCACCUGGGGCACGGGAGGAGGGGCGGUUGAGACCGCUGGUUUCCACUUGGAAGCCCUCUUUAUUUGGCCAGGGAUGGAGAAAGGCUGGGGUCAGAGUGCACGCAUCCCCAUGGAAACAGCAAUGAGCCCGGCCCUGUGGGGAUCCUGGCCCUGGUGGGGGAUGGGGAGGCCAAACCAGGGCUCAAGGGGCUCUGGGGGCGAGGGGGCCUCAGCCUCACCUUUGGCAGCAGCUCUUACAGGGAGGUCUGUGCCAGCAGCUGCAGGACCGGUGUCGAUGGAGCAUGGAGGCAGAGUGGGCUUCGGCCUGCGCCACGCAGAGAUCCUAGAGUGGGCUCUGCCUCCUCGAGCUUAUGCCCCUAGCGGCCAGAGGUGGUCCGGAUACAGACCUCGCAGCCAGGGGACUCCCAGCUCCGCUUGACCCCUUGUUCCCUGGCUGCAGGGCUGCUCCCAGAGCUGGCAGGCGGGCCUGGGAUACCCUGGUCCUGAGUGCCUUGGCCUGAGAGGCUGGUUGGGGGGCAGCCAUUGUCCUCCGAAACGCCUCUCCCCUGUGGCUGCUGCUUUCUCUCACGAGAGGACCCCUGGCCUAUCUUCUGCAGUCUCUCCUCUCUGAGCAUGGAAUUUGCAUUCAGAGAAGUGACGAGCCUCAAAGAGACCAAAACAAGGUUUGGCCCCAGCUGCCGACAUCCUCGAGCACCCUGCAGUCCUCUGGGCCCACUGGGCUGGGGGCUUCCACCCCCAUGCCCCCCCCCCCCCCCCCCCCCCCCCCCCCCCCCCCCCCCGCCUGCAAGGGGCGUAGAUGAUGGCUUCCUCAGGACACUAUCUCUGCGGGGUUUCCUUCAGUCCCGGGAGGGCCUCUUCCCCUUUGCAGUGACCAGGGAGACCCUCUGCUCUCCCAGAGGCCAGGACUGGGGCUGUUCGGCUGGCCAGACUCGAUGAGAAGGGCCUAGGACCUCCAGGAGACAGUAGGGCUGGGCCCAAGGAGGCCUGCACUGGGCAGGAAAAGAUCAGCCAGCCCCAAAUAACUUUCUUCAAGAAAAUCCACACACACACUUGCAAGUUUUGAAUAAAUUUACAUGUU
rnacentral:lncRNA from 1 species